GAGGAAUAUUGCACAAUGGGCGGAAGCCUGAUGCAGCAACGCCGCGUGAGCGAUGAAGGCCUUCGGGUCGUAAAGCUCUUUUCUGGGGGACGAGGAAGGACGGUACCUCAGGAAUAAGUCACGGCUAACUACGUGCCAGCAGCCGCGGUAAUACGUAGGUGGCCAGCGUUAUCCGGAUUUACUGGGCGUAAAGCGCGUGCAGGCGGUUCCGUUAGUCGGACGUGAAAGCUCCUGGCUUAACUGGGAGAGGUCGUUCGAUACUGCGGGGCUUGAGGUCGGGAGAGGGACGUGGAAUUCCCGGUGUAGUGGUGGAAUGCGUAGAUAUCGGGAGGAACACCAGUGGCGAAGGCGACGUCCUAGCCCGCACCUGACGCUUAGACGCGAAAGCGUGGGGAGCGAACGG
rnacentral:rRNA from 1 species